CAUGGCCGCCUUAUAGGGCCGCCCCACACUUAUGGGGUCGGCGGCAGCUUAUAGGUCAGCAUCGCCUUGUAGGGGCAGGGGCAGCUUAUAGGGUCAGCUUAUAGGGUCAGGAGCAGCUUAUAGGGUCAGCUUAUAGGGUCAGGGGCAGCUUAUAGGGUCAGGGGCGGCUUAUAGGGUCAGGAGCAGCUUAUAGGGUCAGGGGCAGCUUAUAGGGUCAGGGUCAGCUUAUAGGGUCAGCUUAUAGGGUCAGGGGCAGCUUAUAGGGUCAGCUUAUAGGGUCAGGGGCAGCUUAUAGGGUCAGCUUAUAGGGUCAGGAGCAGCUUAUAGGGUCAGCUUAUAGGGUCAGGGGCAGCUUAUAGGGUCAGCUUAUAGGGUCAGGGGUGGCUUAUAGGGUCAAGGGCUGCUUAUAGGGUCAGCUUAUAGGGUCAGGGGCAGCUUAUAGGGUCAGGGGCAGCUUAUAGGGUCAGGGGCAGCUUAUAGGGUUUAUAGGGUCAAGGUUGGGGUUAUGGGGUCAAGGUUGGCUUUAUAGGGUCAAUGCAAAGUCUAUGGGAUCAAGGUUGGGUUUAUAGGGUCAAGGUUGGGU